CAUUAUAGAUAUCAAGUUGGGAACACUCUUAUAGGAGGGUAAGCCAUAUUUUGUGCUUGGAUAAGAUUGUACGUAGUGGUGAUGCGCUGUAAUCUAUUCGAUUAGACACGGCUAGCAUUGUAAUUUUCGCAGUUGUUUUUUUUGCACAAUAUGCUAUUAUCCAACAUGAAUAAUGUCACUUGUAUGCUAUAUAAUUUCUUAGAAUACAACGAAAUACGGACGUUUUGUCAUUUAAAGCUUGUUUAGAAUGCAUUGAAUUAGAAUUAAAAUUAAAAGUUUUUACUCAACGCA